UACGUAGGGUGCAAGCGUUAAUCGGAAUUACUGGGCGUAAAGCGUGCGCAGGCGGCUUUGCAAGUCAGAUGUGAAAUCCCCGGGCUUAACCUGGGAACUGCGUUUGAAACUACAAGGCUAGAGUGUGGCAGAGGGGGGUGGAAUUCCACGUGUAGCAGUGAAAUGCGUAGAGAUGUGGAGGAACACCGAUGGCGAAGGCAGCCCCCUGGGUUAACACUGACGCUCAGGCACGAAAGCGUGGGGAGCAAACAGG
rnacentral:rRNA from 1 species